rnacentral:rRNA from 1 species
GAUGAACGCUGGCGGCGUGCUUAACACAUGCAAGUCGAACGGUGAAGGUGGGAGCUUGCUCCUACUGGAUCAGUGGCGAACGGGUGAGUAACACGUGAGCAAUCUGCCCCGAACUCUGGGAUAAGCACUGGAAACGGUGUCUAAUACCGGAUACGACGCGCGACGGCAUCGUCUACGCGUGGAAAGAAUUUCGGUUCGGGAUGAGCUCGCGGCCUAUCAGCUUGUUGGUGAGGUAAUGGCUCACCAAGGCGACGACGGGUAGCCGGCCUGAGAGGGUGACCGGCCACACUGGGACUGAGACACGGCCCAGACUCCUACGGGAGGCAGCAGUGGGGAAUAUUGCACAAUGGGCGAAAGCCUGAUGCAGCAACGCCGCGUGAGGGACGACGGCCUUCGGGUUGUAAACCUCUUUUAGCAGGGAAGAAGCGAAAGUGACGGUACCUGCAGAAAAAGCACCGGCUAACUACGUGCCAGCCGCCGCCGUAA